AGAGUUUGAUCCUGGCUCAGGACGAACGCUGGCGGCGUGCCUAAUACAUGCAAGUCGAGCGGACCGACGGGAGCUGCUCCCUUAGGUAGCGGCGGACGGGUGAGUAACACGUGGGUAACCUGCCUGUAAGACUGGGAUAACUCCGGGAAACCGGGGCUAAUACCGGAUGCUUGAUUGAACCGCUUGUUCAAUCAUAAAAGGUGGCUUUUAGCUACCACUUGCAGAUGGACCCGCGGCGCAUUAGCUAGUUGGUGAGGUAACGGCUCACCAAGGCGACGAUGCGUAGCCGACCUGAGAGGGUGAUCGGCACACUGGGACUGAGACACGGCCCAGACUCCUACGGGAGGCGCAGUAGGGAAUCUUCCGCAAUGGACGAAAGUCUGACGGAGCAACGCCGCGUGAGUGAUGAAGGUUUUCGGAUCGUAUAACUCUGUUGUUAGGGAAGACAAGUACCGUUCGAAUAGGGCGGUACCUUGACGGUACCUAACCAGAAAGCCACGGCUAACUACGUGCCAGCAGCCGCGGUAUACGUAGGUGGCAAGCGUUGUCCGGAAUUAUUGGGCGUAAAGCGCGCGCAGGCGGUUUCUUAAGUCUGAUGUGAAAGCCCCCGGCUCAACCGGGGAGGGUCAUUGGAAACUGGGGAACUUGAGUGCAGAAGAGGAGAGUGGAAUUCCACGUGUAGCGGUGAAAUGCGUAGAGAUGUGGAGGAACACCAGUGGCGAAGCGACUCUCGGUCUGUAACUGACGCUGAGGCGCGAAAGCGUGGGAGCGAACAGGAUUAGAUACCCUGGUAGUCGACGCCGUAAACGAUGAGUGCUAAGUGUUAGAGGGUUUCCGCCCUUUAGUGUGCAGCAAACGCAUUAAGCACUCCGCCUGGGGAGUACGGUCGCAAGACUGAAACUCAAAGGAAUUGACGGGGGCCCGCACAAGCGGUGGAGCAUGUGGUUUAAUUCGAAGCAACGCGAAGAACCUUACCAGGUCUUGACAUCCUUGGCAACCCUAGAGAUAGGGCUUCCCCUUCGGGGGCAGAGUGACAGGUGGUGCAUGGUUGUCGUCAGCUCGUGUCGUGAGAUGUGGGUUAAGUCCGCAACGAGCGCAACCCUUGAUCUUAGUUGCCAGCAUUCAGUUGGGCACUCUAAGGUGACU
rnacentral:rRNA from 1 species